rnacentral:rRNA from 1 species
GACGUAGGGCGCGAGCGUUGUCCGGAUUUAUUGGGCGUAAAGAGCUCGUAGGCGGCUUGUUGCGUCGACCGUGAAAACCCGCGGCUUAACUGUGGGCUUGCGGUCGAUACGGGCGGGCUGGAGUUCGGUAGGGGAGACUGGAAUUCCUGGUGUAGCGGUGAAAUGCGCAGAUAUCAGGAGGAACACCGGUGGCGAAGGCGGGUCUCUGGGCCGAUACUGACGCUGAGGAGCGAAAGCGUGGGGAGCAAACAGG